CAUUUGUUUUACGUACUUUGUUUUUUUUAGUAGUAAAAAUGCGGUGGUGACACACCCACUCAAAAUCUUAUGUAUUGGUGCCUAAAAAUGGUCUUAAAGAUCAAAAGAUCAUUCUCUUUUUGUUAAUUUUGUGGCCGAAUAGAAGAUAUAUCCUCAAAGUAUUAAUUACUUUUCAUUGAUUUUGUUUACGGCCUAUAGAACUUUGGAAUUGGUUCAUUUAUUUGGAGUUGCGCAGCAAAACAAAAAAACAAUUAAUUGGUUAUUGAAACAAUACUUAAGUCAAUUAAGUGUAAUGGACUUUAAUGUCAAUUAAACUUGGAUAUAACUUGAACAUGCACUUUAAUUUGAUCUGUAACUUUAAUUUGAUCUGUAAUUUGAAAAAUGCUUUAUGGAAUAUGGAACCUAUUUCUUUGAUGAAUGUUUAGUUGUUUUGGAUAGUACUUUAACCCUAUUUAAAUGUGAAUGCUAAUUUUUGUUUUUAUUUAUGACCUUGUUUAGGUCAGGUUUCUUUUUCCACCCCCUGUUUCAACCCAGGAUGGCGAGCUACUGGAUCACCGCAGCUUUGCGGUAGGACUUCAUUGAACCAAACUACAUUUCUUUUCCGGACGUAUUGCCCUGGGAUCAUGGACUAAAAACAUUUGGAUUAUUGAUUCAUGGAGGAUUAAUCAUCCUGCAUACAAAAGAACUGACUUGAAUAAGCGGAAAAAAAACUCUUGGGUGUCAUCUGGGUUUAUUUUUGUUGUUGUUGUUGUUUUCCUGUUGUGUUUAGGAAAAUAUUAUUAUUGAAUACUUUUCUAAAUAUAUAAAUUUGAAUACAAUAACUUGAACUUAC